UACGUAGGGUGCAAGCGUUGUCCGGAAUUAUUGGGCGUAAAGAGCUCGUAGGCGGCUUGUCGCGUCGGCUGUGAAAACCUGGGGCUCAACCCCGGGCCUGCAGCCGAUACGGGCAAGCUAGAAUUCGGUAGGGGAGACUGGAAUUCCUGGUGUAGCGGUGAAAUGCGCAGAUAUCAGGAGGAACACCGGUGGCGAAGGCGGGUCUCUGGGCCGAUAGUGACGCUGAGGAGCGAAAGCGUGGGGAGCGAACAGG
rnacentral:rRNA from 1 species